GACGAACGCUGGCGGCGUGCCUAAUACAUGCAAGUAGAACGCUGAAGCGAGGAGCUUGCUCUUCUUGGAUGAGUUGCGCACGGGUGAGUAACGCGUAGGUAACCUGCCUUGUAGCGGGGGAUAACUAUUGGAAACGAUAGCUAAUACCGCAUAACAAUGGAUGACACAUGUCAUUUAUUUGAAAGGGGCAAUUGCUCCACUACAAGAUGGACCUGCGUUGUAUUAGCUAGUAGGUGAGGUAAUGGCUCACCUAGGCGACGAUACAUAGCCGACCUGAGAGGGGGAUCGGCCACACUGGGACUGAGACACGGCCCAGACUCCUACGGGAGGCAGCAGUAGGGAAUCUUCGGCAAUGGGGGCAACCCUGACCGAGCAACGCCGCGUGAGUGAAGAAGGUUUUCGGAUCGUAAAGCUCUGUUGUAAGUCAAGAAAGGGUGUGAGAGUGGAAAGUUCACACUGUGACGGUAGCUUACCAGAAAGGGACGGCUAACUACGUG
rnacentral:rRNA from 1 species